GUCUAUGGGAGGUAAAAAGAGCGAGAACCAAAUCAUAGACUACACUCGUAGCGGUUCUUACUGAAAUAUCUUUGGACGCGAGUUCGAAUCUCGCCGCCUCCACCA
rnacentral:tmRNA from 1 species